ACGACGGGGAAGGCGACUGCAGUACUCCCAGCGCAAGGCCUGCUCGCCGGGUCCUGGGAGCUCUCACGGCAGCGCGCGUGGAAGGCGGAGAAGGCCGCGAGUGGUGGGGGCCGCGCCUUCUCAUGUGUUUUUAAAAUCCUAUUUGACAUGGCAAACAAAGGCUUUUAACUCCCUGGAAGGUGAGCAGAAGACUCAGAGUGCGAAAGGUGGAAGGGUCAGUGGCCUGGGGUGAUUGGUACUCCUGAUACCAAAGACAGAGAAGCCAUCAUGGUUUUCUGUGUGGAUGACCCCUGAAAGAGGAAACCUCUCCUAGAAGAAGAUUGAGACCCAGCAGAAACCAAUAUUUAUCGCCUUCCAGUCUAGUCAUCUCCCACAUUUUGGACAGGU
rnacentral:lncRNA from 1 species